UCCAUCGGACCGAAGUCCGAAGCUGACUGUCUGGGACCUUGUCCCCUCCAUCGGACCGAAGUCCGAAGCUAACUGUCUGGGACCUUGUCCCCUCCAUCGGACCGAAGUCCGAAGCUAACUGACUGGGGCCUUGCCCCUCCAUCGGACCGAAGUCCGAAGCUGACUGAACACAGCAUAUCAUAACAUAUCAACUGGCAUAAACUCACAUAUACUGCAUACUACAUCGGGCCGUAGCCCGGAACACAUAACACAUAAAUCCUGUCUGAGCCACGAAGGCAUCAAACAUACUAACUACUGUAUCAGAUCAACAUCCG
rnacentral:lncRNA from 1 species